AGUUUGAUCAUGGCUCAGAUUGUAACGCUGGCGGCAUGCCUUACACAUGCAAGUCGAACGGCAGCACGGGAGCUUGCUCCUGGUGGCGAGUGGCGAACGGGUGAGUAAUGCAUCGGAACGUGCCCUGAAGUGGGGGAUAACGUAGCGAAAGUUACGCUAAUACCGCAUAUUCUGUGAGCAGGAAAGCAGGGGGAUCUUCGGACCUUGCGCUUUUGGAGCGGCCGAUGUCGGAUUAGCUAGUUGGUGGGGUAAAGGCCCACCAAGGCGACGAUCCGUAGCGGGCCUGAGAGGGAGAUCCCCCACACUGGUACUGAGACACGGACCAGACUCCUACGGGAGGCAGCAGUGAGGAAUAUUGGUCAAUGGUCGCAAGACUGAACCAGCCAUGCCGCGUGCAGGAAGACGGUCCUAUGGAUUGUAAACUGCUUUUAUACAGGAAGAAACCCUCCCACGUGUGGGAGCUUGACGGUACUGUAGGAAUAAGGAUCGGCUAACUCCGUG
rnacentral:rRNA from 1 species